UUGCUUCUUCAGAUAGUAAACUGUUUGUAGUUAUAUCUGACAAACUAAACAAACAACUGCGACCAACUCAAACAUAAAGGAUCGAAUGAUUUUUAGUCGACAAAACGUAUUUAUAAAGUGUUUUAAAGAAAGCUACUCCUCCUCUGCAGUAACAAGCUAAAGCGCUAACUACUGGCAGAUUACUGCUGGAUUAUGACAAUCCAGAAAAGGUACUUCCUUAUCAACGGCCAGCUAACAUCUAGUCUCCCAGUAUUCUGUGUUACACACAGAAAGUGCUAAUCAAUAUAAUUAUGAUUUUCUGUAUUCUUAGGUUCAUCAUACACCAACCGAUGUCCUUGAUGGUCUAAACUACUCAGUGACAGGCAUGCCAAAAUUGGAUCGAGACGCCCUUCAGAGCUGUCAUGUGGAUCUCAUUGAGAAUAUUGGGGACUUUACAUCUUUAUGUGCCUAUCUUUAUCAGUGCAACAUCUUGACUGCUGAUGAUAAAGCAUUUCUGAGUAGUUUUCCUCGUCCAUCAGAAGGCAUCGAUCAAUUGCUUAUGAUGAUACCCAGAAAAGGGAAUAUUUUGGACAUUUUUAUACGUGUCUUACAGCAAUCACGAGAAAAUCAAGAGGCUGCAAAACGUUUAGUUCUAAAACGUCUGCAGUUGCAUGAAAAGACAGAGAACAAAUAAGUAAAUGAGUGACUGAGCACUUUUUAUUACUGUUGCUUCACUAUGGGCACAUUGCUACAUCACACUAGUUUUCCACAGGAAACAUUUCUCUGUAGUUAUACACACCACAUAUAAAAGUGAGCACUCCAACUUUGUACAUAG